UACGUAGGGUGCAAGCGUUGUCCGGAAUUAUUGGGCGUAAAGGGCUCGUAGGCGGUUUGUCGCGUCUGCUGUGAAAACCCGAGGCUCAACCUCGGGCCUGCAGUGGGUACGGGCAGACUAGAGUGCGGUAGGGGAGAUUGGAAUUCUUGGUGUAGCGGUGGAAUGCGCAGAUAUCAGGAGGAACACCAAUGGCGAAGGCAGAUCUCUGGGCCGUAACUGACGCUGAGGAGCGAAAGCAUGGGGAGCGAACAGG
rnacentral:rRNA from 1 species